rnacentral:rRNA from 1 species
UACGUAGGUGGCAAGCGUUGUCCGGAUUUAUUGGGUUUAAAGGGUGCGUAGGCGGCUGUUUAAGUCAGUGGUGAAAGCCGAUCGCUUAACGAUCGAACUGCCAUUGAUACUGAAUAGCUUGAGUACAGAUGAGGUAGGCGGAAUUGACAGUGUAGCGGUGAAAUGCAUAGAUAUUGUCAAGAACACCGAUUGCGGAGGCAGCUUACUAAAGUGUCACUGACGCUGAGGCACGGAAGUGCGGGGAUCAAACAGG